rnacentral:misc_RNA from 1 species
AACGCACAUUGCGCCCUUUGGCAUUCCGAAGGGCAUGCCUGUUCGAGCGUCAUUAUAACUAAUCAAGCUUGGCUUGGUAUUAGAGUUCGCCGUACGACGGCUCUUAAACGCAGUGGCAGCGCCGCUAGGCUCUUUGCGUAGUAAAUUUUCUCGCUAUAGAAUUCUAGUAGUAGCUUGCCAAAACCUCUUAUUUAAGGUUGACCUCGGAUCAGGUAGGGAUACCCGCUGAACUUAA